rnacentral:rRNA from 1 species
UACAGAGACUGCAAGCGUUGUUCGGAUUCACUGGGCGUAAAGGGCGCGUAGGCGGCCGAUUAAGUCGGGGGUGAAAGCCUGUGGCUCAACCACAGAAUUGCCUUCGAUACUGAUUGGCUUGAGACCGGAAGAGGUAAGUGGAACUGCGAGUGUAGAGGUGAAAUUCGUAGAUAUUCGCAAGAACACCAGUGGCGAAGGCGGCUUACUGGUCCGGUUCUGACGCUGAGGCGCGAAAGCGUGGGGAGCAAACAGG